AAAGUUUUUUUUCUUUUUUUUAAAUUCAAACUCUCUCACGCGGAAAGAAACACGUCCACAUUUAUUGAUUGGACUUUGCCAGACAAACAUCUGUAAUCAAAUUAUGCGACUGAUACUUACUUACAUUACCUGUCUCGCUUCAGUUGACUUUCUCGCAACCAAAGAAAACACAACAAAUAUCGUGAUUGAUUGCAUACACGAAAUUUGACUUGGCUGCCAGUUUUUGUGAAGGACCUUUUUUUUCCCGAUUUCUCUCUGCGUUUUCUGUUGCUAACGAUGCAGGAAAAAAAAAUAAAACACGAAACGAAACAAGUGGGAAAAGAAUACGAUAAUAAUAAUUAACAACAUUUUUGACGAGAUUGAAUGUGAUUGUUUAUGACGCUACCACUUUCAUUUUUUUUUUUCUUUUUCUAAAAGAAUUUCUUUUCUUUUUCUGCAUUUUUUUGUCUAUUGUUUUGUUUUCCUUCACUUUUCGUCUGUGACCGUGAUUGGGCGCUUGCGUCGUGUCUCUCUCCCCCGUCCCGCACAGCCCGAAAAUACACAUCGACUAAUACCGCACCAUCAACUCCCCCGCACGCCCGUUUUUUUUUUUUUUACUUCCCACAUAUCCACCCGCGUGAACGAUACCUUUUUUUUUUUAUUCUCUCUCCUCCCUCCUCGUUCGGUUGAUUUCGUGAUUUGAAAAAAAAAAUAAAAAAUCCUUUUUUUUGUGUGUGUGUGUGUGGCAGGGAAUAAUUCUUUUUAAAUCCCGACAUUCCGUCAGCGUUCGCCCUUCGGUUCGGUUCUCGUUCGCAGUGGUUAACAAAAAAAUGUUGUGCCUUCAACGUGUCGAUAGUCAUUUUGUUUUAUUUUGUUUUGAAAUUGUGAAAUGUGUUUUUGCGACAGAAUGUUUUUGAAAUGUUUUCUGCAUUCUGAUCGUUUGAUCGUGACCAAAAGAAAACUGCGCACGUCUAAAAAUAUUUGCCUAUCGCCGACGUCAAGUCAAGUCAAGGCUUUUUCUCCAAAUUUUGGAAAGUGUGACAAGAACACAGGGGAAUUGAAGUGACAAGGUUUCUGUGUUGAUUGUUAAUUUCAAAAAAGAAAAGGUCGUGUGUUUCAUUGGUCGUAAUGUCGCACAGCCGCAUGUGGAAUUCAAUCGUUAGGCGUAGGAGUAAACCCAACGAAACGGCGAUUCUAGCUGGUGAUGAUGCGAAUACGAAGACGUCGCCGCCAACUUCUCCGACCAAACUUCCGGUCGGCGUUGUUUUAGGUUCGUCACCGGAAAGAGCCGUGGUUCGAUUGCGACACACUUUCAGUUUGGGGCUGACGGAUCGCAGCAAGCUGCGGUCCAGCGGUGGGAGUCUCACUUCUGGCACGGAUGAGUUGGCAGCCAAGAAUUCUACCCACGCGCUCAGUCCGGAAAACGUGCGGAAGCGGUUCUCUGCUGGCAGUGGUGGCAAGAGGACCAGUUCGACAUUGAGACUCGACUCGCCCACCGAAAUUCAAGAAGAAACUUUUGAAUUGCCCGCCAUUAUUACAACGGCACCUAGCGGUCAGUCGAGAUACGACUCUGCGCAUUUUCUCGACCGAGUUAACGAAUCCUGCCGCUAGAUGUCGCGCGGGUUUCAAGAAGACACGGAUUCUCUCCAAUCAGGGAAGCCGUCAUCGAAUCGACUUGUUUACACUUUUGGUGAGAGGACGUGAAAAA